AACGAACGCUGGCGGCAGGCCUAACACAUGCAAGUCGAGCGAGACCUUCGGGUCUAGCGGCGGACGGGUGAGUAACGCGUGGGAAUAUGCCCUUUGGUACGGAAUAGCCUCGGGAAACUGAGAGUAAUACCGUAUGUGCCCUUCGGGGGAAAGAUUUAUCGCCAAAGGAUUAGCCCGCGUUGGAUUAGGUAGUUGGUGGGGUAAUGGCCUACCAAGCCUACGAUCCAUAGCUGGUUUGAGAGGAUGAUCAGCCACACUGGGACUGAGACACGGCCCAGACUCCUACGGGAGGCAGCAGUGGGGAAUCUUAGACAAUGGGGGCAACCCUGAUCUAGCCAUGCCGCGUGAGUGAUGAAGGCCUUAGGGUUGUAAAGCUCUUUCAGCUGGGAAGAUAAUGACGGUACCAGCAGAAGAAGCCCCGGCUAACUCCGUGCCAGCCGCCGCCGUAACAC
rnacentral:rRNA from 1 species